rnacentral:lncRNA from 1 species
UAGCACAGGGUUGUUAGAGUUCGGGUAGUAUGGUUAGGCUGCAGUUGGACUUGAUGAUCUUUAAGGUCUUUUCCAACCUGAGCAACCCUAUGAUUGUAAGUCACCCUUCAAACUAGACCCUACAAAAGCAAGCCCUCAGAACUCUCAGGCAGCAGCAGAUGAUAAAAUAGGGAAGCAAGAUUAGCAUCAAGAUCCACAAGAAGCAGUACAAGAAUUCAAAACUCAAAGUGAAACUCGGCAAGCAUAAAGAAUAACCCUACCCUGCGCAUAGACUGGUAGCGGGGUGCAUGAAGCUGUACUACAUCCUUCUGCAGAAGCUCUAAGGAACUUUCCAAAGAAUAGCUGGAAUCCCGCACACCUCUCAGAAUAUUUUCUUCGUAAUUAUUGGUCAUGACUGGUAUCACUUCAGACACUUCAAAAAGCGCUGACUUCUUCUUCUUGUCCUUGAACACAAAGGCAAUGUACAUCUUGAAGUCAAACUGGUCAGCUAAAGAUUCUUUUUUCUUUCUAAGCUGAGCACGAAGUCUGUUCAGAGCUUGUUUCUUCCGGGAGUUUGGGUCCCCCAUUUUGUUAUAUAGGUGGUACUAAAGCCUUUGGAAACUGUCGCUAAACUAUG